GCAGCCUCUGACAUCCCAUAAUAAACUCCUAAAAGAGAGGGAAGAAAAAUACCAGUCACAUGGUCUCCAGGGAAACCCGGGGCCACUAGUGACAGACCAUAAUAUGCUUCGGCUGACUGUCCACCUGGCCGGUUUUCUUGCACCCCACAGACUACAAAUUGCUAACAACAUCUAGUAGCUCUCAGCCUAAACAGGACUGGCAUGUCCUGGGCAAGAGACCUCAUCUGUACUGGGUGACAGGACGGCCCGGGCUCUGUAAAUAAUACACUGUAGCACGCUUGCCAGGAUCAAGUGCAACAUGUGUAGGCAAUUGAAAGAAUCAAUUUCAGACCAUUAUUGCAAGGCAUGUUUCCUCUCUAUGGGCAAUCAACAAAUAGUUUUACUACUCCAGUCUGGCUGUUGUGCUAUGAAUCAUGACUGGUAGGAAUUGGUUUAAUUUGUACACUUUGUGAUGAGUUUGCUGUUUUUCUGCUUUGCUACCCAUGAAAUGGGCUGAGAGGCUGAGACCGUGGGAGUCAUCAAUGGAGUAAUGACCGAAGAAACAGACUCCCCGGCAAAUGAAUGAUGAGACUGAUGCAGCAAUUUAUUGUAAUGAAGACAACUUGUAGUCGUCUAGUUUGUAUACUGGUAAUAACAGUCUUGUUAUUUAAUAGACAAACCUUGUUUUUCUUGUAAUAGAUUUAUUACAUGCCGCAGGAUGUCUGUUCCCAGACCAAGUGGAAAACAAAUCUUACUGGUUAUUCUUGCUAGGCUUCAGCUGACUCUAGUAGGGAUUGAGUCCAGAUGUGCUGGCCCGUUCCAUAUCAGAGCCAAAACUGCUCCUGCUUUAUCUGCCAGCCUGAUGAGGUUUUGAGGAGCGUAAUUUCAAGAACAUGUUCCAGCAAACACUUCCCAAUGCAAGGCAAGUGAUGCGGAAGUCAAAAUAAUGUCAGCAGAAAUGAAAGAACGGGAUUGGAAUUUGGAGAAGAAUCACAAGUCAUUCGGUCAGCCUGACCCUCACAGUACCCAUCAUCAGCCCCGCUCUCUGGCCCAACAGAGACGCUCGAACCCAACAACCUCAGUGUCCGAUGCUCUGUUCCAGCUGGCCGCAUGUUCGUUCCUCCUGCCUGGACCAGCCCACCAACUCACAGCACAUCCAUCCUCCACCUCGGCCCAUGUGUCUGGCUCCCCGGCCCAGCUUACUCGAGCAGCUACAGUACAUCAUCGGCUGGGCAAGCAAACCCUAACCCUGCCAGAGCCAGGGGCUCUCCUCUAAAGGAGAUUUAACCUGAGCUUUUUGUUUUACUUGUAACGGGAUCCCCAUCGCUUCAGCUGUUGGCUUGGUUUUGGGGGAGCAUGAGGAGUUUGUUUGUAGUGUUAGUUAGUGUCUGUCCUAAUGGCCUCGUUAAGAAGAGCUUUGUUUGGGUAAAACUGGGGUGACGUAACACUGUAUCACUGAUGAGUUUCAUAUAGAUGACUGAGUUUACUAAACACAAUCUAUGUAUGUACUGAUGUACUGUACAUCUGCCACCAUGUCCCCCUCUCUACCCCCCCCCCCCCCUCCCACAC